CAAAAACAUGUCUAUGUGAAGUUAAAUAAAGUCUGGCCUGCCCACUGAAAUUUUAAAGGCCGCGGUACUUUGACUGUGCAAAGGUAGCAUAAUAAUUAGCUUUUUAAUUGAGAGCUUGAAUGAAGGGUUGGACAAAGAAAAAGCUGUCUUUAAUUUUUUUAUUGAAUUUUACAUUUAGGUGAGAAGGCUUAAAUUAAUUUAAGGGACGAUAAGACCCUAUAAAUCUUUACAUUUAUUUAUUUUUUAUUUGUUAGACAUGGAUUAAAUAAAAUGUGAAAUGUAUGUUGUAUUGGGGUGAUAGAGAUAUAUUAAAUUAGCUGUCUUAAAAAGUAAAACAAGAAUAGAUGAUAAUAUUAAGAUCCUUUUAUAGAGAUUAAAAGUCUAAGUUACUUUAGGGAUAACAGCGUAAUUUUUUUUGAGAGUUCAUAUCGAAAGAAGAGUUUGCGACCUCGAUGUUGAAUUAAAAGUUUCUUUACGGUGUAGGUGUUGUAGAGGAAAGUCUGUUCGACUUUUAAAUUUUUACAUGA
rnacentral:rRNA from 1 species